rnacentral:lncRNA from 1 species
GCUGGACUGCCAUAUGGAUAAAAUCUCAUUUAUGUCUCUGUCUUCUUGGCAUAAAACAGGAAGCCAACCUACCCUUCCAAAUCAAAAGUACCAAGGGGCAAGCAAGCUGCUGCAUGGUAUACACCUCUGCUGUGGGUGGCACCCUGACCGCUGGACUGCCAGUCCUGUACUAUUGAUCCAUCUCCCAUGACGUAGGGAACACAUAGGAGAUGUUCACAUGAUAUCAGCUAGAGCUGUUCUUGGUAUGUCAACCCAUGCAUUUGUAUGUGGUAAGUUCUCCAGUUUGAUAUCUUUGCAGCAAGCCAGGGAAUGAAACAAGCAUCUAGGAACACUCAGAACUAAGUUUUGGAACUCUAUAAAAACAGUCCAUGACCUCUACUCAGAGAAAUAUCUUAUUGUAAACCACAUCCCCAAAUAUUCCAAACUGCUUUAUGGAUUUAUACCUAGGUCAAAUCACUUCACCAUAACUGCUGUUACAGCAAAAUUAUGUAAAUAUUGUUUUAGGGGACAGGAAGAAAAAAAGUGUGAUUUCUUAGUAUUUUGUACCUUUUGAUAAAAUGACUGAAUGGGAAGUUCAUCUCAUUCCCUGCAGGAGUUGUCAUUGAGUGACAGUUUUGAAAUCUGCCAUGGAUUACAGACAUGUAUUUAUGUCUUGAAUUCGUCACUUGAAAGACUACUUUGACAGUAAUGGUGAAUGUCACCACAUGUUUUGAAUAGGCAGUUUUUCUUAAUGCUAGAGGAAGAUGAGGUUAGGGAACACUUGCUUUUAAAUGUUUUGAAGGAAUUUGACAUUUACUUCCUAUGCUACUACAUCUCAAUAAAUAUUUUCAACUCAACCA